rnacentral:rRNA from 1 species
GACGAACGCUGGCGGCGUGCCUAAUACAUGCAAGUAGGACGCACAGUCUAUACCGUAGCUUGCUACACCAUAGGCUGUGAGUUGCGAACGGGUGAGUAACGCGUAGGUAACCUGCCUAUUAGAGGGGGAUAACUAUUGGAAACGAUAGCUAAUACCGCAUAACAGUAUGUAACACAUGUUAGAUGCUUGAAAGAUGCAAUUGCAUCGCUAGUAGAUGGACCUGCGUUGUAUUAGCUAGUAGGUAGGGUAAUGGCCUACCUAGGCGACGAUACAUAGCCGACCUGAGAGGGUGAUCGGCCACACUGGGACUGAGACACGGCCCAGACUCCUACGGGAGGCAGCAGUAGGGAAUCUUCGGCAAUGGGGGGAACCCUGACCGAGCAACGCCGCGUGAGUGAAGAAGGUUUUCGGAUCGUAAAGCUCUGUUGUUAAGGAAGAACGAGUGUGGGAAUGGAAAGUUCAUACUGUGACGGUACUUAACCAGAAAGGGACGGCUAACUACGUG